rnacentral:lncRNA from 1 species
ACCCCAUUGGACUUCAUUCGAGUUGCCGAUUCUCAGGAACCAGUCUUUCCACCCCUUAGUAGGACCGGGCGAAGAACGAAAAGUGUCUUUCCACAGAUCUAAGGAGAAGUUUUCAGCCUUAAAGGGGAUCCUAUUUGUCUCUGCAUUUAUUAAAUUGGUAGGAUCUGGAUUUCCCAAUGGACAAAGACACUGGAAGUGAGGUUGAUCGGUAGGGAUUACAAUCUUAUCGGCCAACUCCUAAAAGAUUUGAAGGUUGGAAGAACAGAAAAGGAAACAAAGAAGAAAAAAAAUGUACUUAGUAAAUAGAUUCGC